ACUUGAAUAAUUUAAAUUAAAAUAUUGGUUUGUGGGAUCAAAAAUAUGAAGUAAUCAUUUUAAGUU
rnacentral:tRNA from 1 species